rfam:Capsicum annuum cultivar Zunla-1 chromosome 5, whole genome shotgun sequence
GAAAGCCCUAUGAUGGGAAACUACCACAUUAGGUUUGGAGAGAGAUGGGUUCGGUUAUAAUAAAGGGGAAGAAUAUGCAAGCUUUUUCUAUCAAUAGUCAGCCAAAUGACUAUAGGAUCAUCGGUCUACUCUAC